AGAUACCCCACUAUGCCCAGCCAUAAACUUUAACUUACCCCCACAAUCGCCAGGGAACUACGAGCCAAGCUUAAAACCCAAAGGACUUGACGGUGCCCCAUAUCCAACUAGAGGAGCCUGUCCUACAAUUGAUAAUCCCCACUUAACCUCACCCCCUCUAGCUUUCAGCCUGUAUACUUCCGUCGCCAACUCACCACGUGAGCGAGUUUUCAGUGAGUUCUAUGCCCAAUUCGCCUCUACGUCAGGUCAAAGUGCAGCAAAUGAGAGGGAAAGAGAUGGGCUACACUCUCUAAUAUAGAGAACACGAAAGACUAUUAUGAAAUCUAGUCAGAAGGUGGAUUUAGAAGUAAAAAGAAAAUAGAGUGUUCUUUUUAACCCGGCACUGGGGUGUGUACACACCGCCCGUCACCCUCUUCGAAGCCCCCCAUAAAGUAUUUUACCACUAAUGGCACUAGAGAAGAGGCAAGUCGUAACA
rnacentral:rRNA from 1 species